rnacentral:rRNA from 1 species
UGAGGAAUAUUGGUCAAUGGGCGCGAGCCUGAACCAGCCAAGUCGCGUGAGGGAUGACGGUCCUACGGAUUGUAAACCUCUUUUGCCGGGGAGCAAGCGUGCGUUCGUGAACGCACGUCGAGAGUACCCGGAGAAAAAGCAUCGGCUAACUCCGUCGCC